rnacentral:rRNA from 1 species
GACGAACGCUAGCGGCGUGCUUAACACAUGCAAGUCGAACGGAAAGGCCCUGCUUUUGUGGGGUGCUCGAGUGGCGAACGGGUGAGUAACACGUGAGUAACCUGCCCUUGACUUUGGGAUAACUUCAGGAAACUGGGGCUAAUACCGGAUAGGAGCUCCUGCUGCAUGGUGGGGGUUGGAAAGUUUCGGCGGUUGGGGAUGGACUCGCGGCUUAUCAGCUUGUUGGUGGGGUAGUGGCUUACCAAGGCUUUGACGGGUAGUCGGCCUGAGAGGGUGACCGGCCACAUUGGGACUGAGAUACGGCCCAGACUCCUACGGGAGGCAGCAGUGGGGAAUAUUGCACAAUGGGCGGAAGCCUGAUGCAGCAACGCCGCGUGCGGGAUGACGGCCUUCGGGUUGUAAACCGCUUUCGCCUGUGACGAAGCGUGAGUGACGGUAAUGGGUAAAGAAGCACCGGCUAACUACGUG